rnacentral:rRNA from 1 species
GACGAACGCUGGCGGCGUGCUUAACACAUGCAAGUCGAACGGAAAUGCCCUGCUUUUGUGGGGUGCUCGAGUGGCGAAAGGGUGAGUAACCAGGUAGUAACCUGCCCUUGACUUUGGGAUAACUUCAGGAAACUGGGGCUAAUACCGGAUAGGUGCUCCUGCUGCAUGGUGGGGGUUGGAAAGUUUCGGCGGUUGGGGAUGGACUCGCGGCUUAUCAGCUUGUUGGUGGGGUAGUGGCUUACCAAGGCUUUGACGGGUAGCCGGCCUGAGAGGGUGACCGGCCACACUGGGACUGAGAUACGGCCCAGACUCCUACGGGAGGCAGCAGUGGGGAAUAUUGCACAAUGGGCGGAAGCCUGAUGCAGCAACGCCGCGUGCGGGAUGACGGCCUUCGGGUUGUAAACCGCUUUCGCCUGUGACGAAGCGUGAGUGACGGUAAUGGGUAAAGAAGCACCGGCUAACUACGUG